AUUGAACGCUGGCGGCAUGCCUUACACAUGCAAGUCGAACGGCAGCACGGGUGCUUGCACCUGGUGGCGAGUGGCGAACGGGUGAGUAAUACAUCGGAACAUGUCCUGUAGUGGGGGGUAGCCCGGCGAAAGCCGGAUUAAUACCGCAUACGAUCUACGGAUGAAAGCGGGGGGGCUUCGGGCCUCGCGCUAUAGGGUUGGCCGAUGGCUGAUUAGCUAGUUGGUGGGGUAAAGGCCUACCAAGGGGACGAGCCGUAGCUGGUCUGAGAGGACGAGCAGCCACACUGGGACUGAGACACGGCCCAGACUCCUACGGGAGGCAGCAGUGGGGAAUUUUGGACAAUGGGCGAAAGCCUGAUCCAGCAAUGCCGCGUGUGUGAAGAAGGCCUUCGGGUUGUAAAGCACUUUUGUCCGGAAAGAAAUCCUUGGCCCUAAGACGGUCGGGGGAUGACGGUACCGGAAGAAGAAGCACCGGCUAACUACGUG
rnacentral:rRNA from 1 species